GGAUGUGAGGGCGAUCUGGCUGCGAUAUCUGUCACCCCAUUGAUCGCCAGGGCUGAUCUGGCUGGCUGGGCAGGUGUCCCCUUCCUCCCUCAGUGCCCCAUGUGCAUCCCUCCACCUUCCCCCAUAGAAGGAAGACUGUCCUUCGGUCAAGGGUAUAGGAGUAACUGCGCUCCCCUGCUAGAACCUUCAAACAAGUCUCAAGGACUUGAUCUUUUCACUUCCACACAUCAAGGAAUACCAUGGUGGACCUAAGAGAACGCAUCAUGUUAAUAUUACAGAUAAGAGAGAGGGGGAAAAAAUUCUUGAAGUAUCUGAAGUGUGUUUGACA
rnacentral:snRNA from 1 species